GAACUUAAGCAUAUCAAUAAGCGGAGGAAAAGAAACCAACAGGGAUUGCCCUAGUAACGGCGAGUGAAGCGGCAACAGCUCAAAUUUGAAAUCUGGCUCUUUCAGAGUCCGAGUUGUAAUUUGCAGAGGGCGCUUUGGCUUUGGCAGCGGUCCAAGUUCCUUGGAACAGGACGUCACAGAGGGUGAGAAUCCCGUACGUGGUCGCUAGCUAUUGCCGUGUAAAGCCCCUUCGACGAGUCGAGUUGUUUGGGAAUGCAGCUCUAAAUGGGAGGUAAAUUUCUUCUAAAGCUAAAUAUUGGCCAGAGACCGAUAGCGCACAAGUAGAGUGAUCGAAAGAUGAAAAGCACUUUGGAAAGAGAGUCAAACAGCACGUGAAAUUGUUGAAAGGGAAGCGCUUGCAGCCAGACUUGCUUGCAGUUGCUCAUCCGGGCUUUUGCCCGGUGCACUCUUCUGUAGGCAGGCCAGCAUCAGUUUGGGCGGUGGGAUAAAGGUCUCUGACACGUUCCUUCCUUCGGGUUGGCCAUAUAGGGGAGACGACAUACCACCAGCCUGGACUGAGGUCCGCGCAUCUGCUAGGAUGCUGGCGUAAUGGCUGUAAGCGGCCCGUCUUGAAACACGGACCAAGGAGUCUAACAUCUAUGCGAGUGUUUGGGUGUCAAGCCCGAACGCGUAAUGAAAGUGAACGGAGGUGGGAACCCGCAAGGGCGCACCAUCGACCGAUCCUGAAGUUUACGGAAGGAUUUGAGUAAGAGCAUGGCUGUUGGGACCCGAAAGAUGGUGAACUAUGCUUGAAUAGGGUGAAGCCAGAGGAAACUCUGGUGGAGGCUCGCAGCGGUUCUGACGUGCAAAUCGAUCGUCAAAUUUGGGCAUAGGGGCGAAAGACUAAUCGAACUAUCUAGUAGCUGGUUCCUGCCGAGUU
rnacentral:rRNA from 1 species